rnacentral:lncRNA from 1 species
GUUUAUCGCGCCUUCUUCUCAUCUUCUUUGCCAUGUAUAUCUAUCAUUUUCUACUUAAAUCUCUCUUCUUUUAUGUUCUUUCUUUUUCAUCUUUUCAUUUUUAUACUAUUGUUAUCUCUUGCAAUUAUGCAAUUAUGUUUCUAUCGCACCUCUCUUCUCUAGUAUCGUAUCUCUUUUGUUCUUUCUUUUCAUCUUCUCUAAUCUCUCAUCUUUUUUUUUUCAUUAUAAUGUUUUUGAUAUUUUUUAUGCAAAUAUUUUAUGUUUUUUUAUUCCACUUUUAUCUAAUCUUAUUUUUUCAUAUUGAAUAGGAAGUUGUUGUCUAAAUAUGUUGAGUAUUG